rnacentral:hammerhead_ribozyme from 1 species
AUCUGGCUGACGAGUUCCAGAUAGGACGGAACGCGCGUCCUGGAU